CCUGGAACUAAAAUCGGUUACUCGACGGCAUGAAUACUGCUGGACUUCCAGGCCGUUCGGGAGCCCCGGUCAUUCGGUGGUUUGUUCCUCUACUGUCAAUCGGUACUUUGAAUGUAACUGGAAAAUAAUGUGUGUUUCGUGCGGCGUUCGGUUAGUUGUGCUGGAAUCUGAGCGGUACUUUCACGAACUGUGCGCUCAGACUCCAGCUAUGUACCGAACGUCCAUUCGUUUAAAUAGAGUGAAUAAUGUAAAAGUUAUACAUUUUCAGGUGAAAUGUCAGUUCUGCUGCACGGAGGGAUAAUCCACUUAACUGGAUAUUCUAGUGGGAGUAUCCCUCUCGUACAGCAGUGCAUGAUGGGAGAAAUGUCCAGGUUGUUAAGUUCCCCAUGUAGUCCCCUACUGUACAACCCCUGUAAUGUCAGUAGGGAAACCCCUUGCACGGGCAAUCCCAUAAAUACUGUGACCUGUGAUUAAAAGCUCAGUUGACUCCCAGCCUAUAUGUCGUCUAGUUCUUGGGAAGGAAGGAUUUAUACAACGCUACCGAGAUUAUUGUAUGCUGUGCUUAUUUUCCUGGAUUAUUUUAUGCUGUUCCUGUUACCCAGCGGAGAUACCGUGGAUUAUACUACCUCUCCGCUACACUGGCAUUGGUUAAAGGUGAGGUAGGUCCAAGUUAUGAUUACCAAGUCUUAUUCAUUUUCUGUUAGGGGGCAUUGGCUAUGGCUGUGUUGAGAACAGCUAAUUAUUUUUAUGCAACCACACCACCUUACUAAAAAUCCAGUUCACACUAUAGCUUAGUUCUACAGUAUGUGGCUUCAACAUACGUUUAUUUUUUUUUUUCAUGUCACCUAUCUCCUCUCUCACACUAGCAUAGUUAGUUUAAUGCUUCUGGGCAUUCUUAUGCUAUGAUCUUUUUAAAUUAAAUAGUUGCAACCUUUUUCUGGUAUGUUUCAGCAAGGACUGAUAUUCAGUAUCAACCUAGUGAUGUAUCUGUUAAGGCCCUGAUCUGUAACUGCAUAUCCAACAAACCCAAAAAAAAAAAAAGGGAGAUUGCAUUUUGGACGGCUGUCAGAUUCUCAGCCACUCCGUAGUUAUAAGAAAUAGAUGAACCGUAUCGAAUUGUUGGGAAAGUCUGCAAAACACAUACAAAUAAUUAGUUAUUCUGCAUUUUGUAAUGUAUCAAACAAUAUCGCCUGACUAGACUUUCUAAUUAACUUUUGAUUUAUCGAGAGUUAUUUUCCGUGCGCUGGAGCAACCCUGCAUGGUUGACACUUGCGGUCUGUAGUUUUCACACCUCGUUAGCGAGGUGUGCGCAUUCUAACUAAACGUUCUAAAUGGGGUAUCGGGGUGGUCCAGUGCAUGGUAUUUUUGCAGGAUUUUACGGUCAAAAUUACAGAAAGGGGAAAAAGCACAUCAAAACAUAGAAAAAGGGCAAGCUAGAAUGCUUUUUCAGUAUGUAGUGGUCCUUCAAAGUGAUUUAACUCCUAAAUGGCAGAUAAUUAUGCAGUGAGACUGCAGGUGAUGAUCUGUAUAACAAAACCACUUAAUUUAGCUAAAGUUGUUUCGGUAUUCCUGUAAAGUUUAAUAUGUAUCUGAAACAAAAUAUAUUUACCACUCAAACUGGCAGAUGUUUGAGAUGAAAUGGCCAAGUUAAAAACACUCAAAAUGUUCAAU